rnacentral:rRNA from 1 species
CAAUAGUGUAUACUAAAGUUGCUGCAGUUAAAAAGCUCGUAGUUGGAUUUCGGUUAAUAGAUAAUUAGUCUACUUAUUUAAAAGUACGAACUGAUAAUCUAUUUCCUUCUUUUCAGAUAUUUAUUUUUUAAUAGGUUCUGAAUCUUUUACUUUGAGAAAAUUAGAGUGUUCAAAGCAGGCGUAACCAAGCCUUUGAAUAUAUUAGCAUGGGAUAAUGAAAUAAGACUUUUUGCCUUAUUCUCGUUGGUUCUUUAGGGCUAAAGUAAUGAUUAAUAGGGAUAGUUGGGGUCAUUAGUAUUUAAUUGUCAGAGGUGAAAUUCUAAGAUUUAUUAAAGACUAACUACUGCGAAAGCAUUUGACAAGGAUGUUUUCAUUAA